UACGGAGGGUGCAAGCGUUUAUCCGGAUUCACUGGGUUUAAAGGGUGCGUAGGUGGGCAGGUAAGUCAGUGGUGAAAUCCUGGAGCUCAACUCCAGAACUGCCUUUGAUACUGAGGAUCUUGAGUUCGGGAGAGGUGAGUGGAAUGCCGAGUGUAGAGGUGAAAUUCGUAGAUAUUCGGCGGAACACCAGUGGCGAAGGCGGCCAUCUGGGACAACACUGACGCUGAGGCACGAAAGCGUGGGACGCAAACAGG
rnacentral:rRNA from 1 species